rnacentral:rRNA from 1 species
UGCAAGUCGAACGCAGUAGCAAUACUGAGUGGCAGACGGGUGAGUAACAUGUGGGAAUCUGCCUUGUGGUUCAGGACAACAUUGGGAAACCGAUGCUAAUACUGGAUAAGCCCUUACGGGGAAAGUUUUAAUGCCAUAAGAUGAGCCCGCAUUUGAUUAGUUAGUUGGUGAGGUAAUGGCUCACCAAGACAAUGAUCAAUAGCUGAUCUGAGAGGAUGAUCAGCCACACUGGGACUGAGACACGGCCCAGACUCCUACGGGAGGCAGCAGUGGGGAAUCUUGCACAAUGGAGGAAACUCUGAUGCAGCGAUGCCGCGUGAGUGAAGAAGGCCUUUGGGUUGUAAAGCUCUUUUGUAGGGGAAGAUAAUGACUGUACCCUAAGAAUAAGGUCCGGCUAACUUCGUGCCAGCAGGCGCGGGGAAUACGAAGGGACCUAGCGUAGUUCGGAAUUACUGGGCGUAAAGCGCGCGUAGGCCGUUGAGUUAGUUAAUUGUGAAAUCCCAAAGCUUAACUUUGGAACUGCAAUUAAAACUGCUCGACUAGAGUUUGAUAGAGGAAAGCGGAAUACAUAGUGUAGAGGUGAAAUUCGUAGAUAUUAUGUAGAACACCAGUUGCGAAGGCGGCUUUCUGGAUCAACACUGACGCUGAGGCGCGAAAGUAUGGGUAGCAAAGAGGAUUAGAUACCCUCGUAGUCCAUACC